rnacentral:miRNA from 1 species
GUUCGCGUCGGGUUCACCA